CCCCACCUAUGAAUCAAUCUGCAAUGGAAGGAUGUGUUUGGGUUACUGCACCUCAGGGAGAGAAAGGCAUUAUUAUUCUGCUUCUCAGAAACGUCGUUGGAGCGGUGCUCUUAUUGACUCUAGUGCUUGCGGUCAUCAUCGUCCACUUCAAGUCAGGUCCUACCGGAGACUCAGAAUAACCCAACCUGCUGGAAGGAUGAGGACACCAAAAGGAACAAACUCUCCUUGCUUUGCUCUGCUGCCCCCAAAAUCAGCUGUGCCCUGGACAGUAUUGAACUGCCAAUCUUAUCCCAUUAAGGAGAAAGGAAGACACCCCAACUACCCAGAGCACCUGGACACCCAGCAGCUCCUGGCCAUUCACCAGUUUCUCCUAGACUACAGCUACAACUUCCCUCAGGGGAAGACCUCAUCAGCACCAGAUUCCACUGAGACUCCAACUGAAGUUAGAGUAGCUCC
rnacentral:lncRNA from 1 species